UAGCAAUAUAAACAUAAACGAAAUUGACCGCGAAGUUGUAUUGGGUCCGAAACUUAUUUUGUAUUUAAUUAACAGUUCGCUUUGAUUUAAAAUUAAGGGCACAAAAAUGGAUAUUUCAAGUUCGUCACAACAAAAAUUUAUAGAAAUGGCUUCAAAAGCUAAGAACCCGAUGGAAAAAUUUGAUGAUUCAAUGAAAUUUGAAAAAGAUGGGCAAACUUUUAACUUAAUCUGCAAAAGUAAAUGCGACGUGGAUCCCAAAAUUUUAAAAUGGGCUUUUAAGUUAGCCGAAAGAAAUGUAGGAUUAUAUUAUAAAACCUGUUCUAUGGGUUGGCAGCCUAAGAUUAAACAAAGGGAUCUCAAUAAAAAUUGGGCAAAAUAUUUGAUUGCUUUUGAUAAACGCAAAACCCCUAUUGCUUAUUCAAUGUUUAGAUUCGAUCAUGACUAUGGAAAAAAAGUAUUGUACUGUUAUGAAAUGCAAAUAGAGCAAGAUUUUCGACGUAUAGGCUUAGGAAGGUUUAUGAUGGCGGCGUUGGAAAAGUGUGCGGAAUUUUGGAAUAUGGAAAAAGUAGUACUAACAGUUUUGAGAAAUAAUUAUGAUGCAAAAGCUUUUUUUAGUAAGUUAGAUUAUAAGCUAGAUGAAACUUCACCUGAUGAUAAUGAAAAGGUACCUACGAGAGAACCAGUUUGAUAUGAUCAUUUUAUUGAAAAAGGAAAAUACCUAGAUAUCAUUGAAGAUGAUCUAAAAAAUUUUAUGAUCAAAAACUAGAAAUAAUUACACUUCAAUGCAUCAAAACACAUGUAAUAAUAUAUGUACAUAUAUGAGUGUAUAUGCGAACUAUUAUACAAUAAAUAAUUGUUUAUUAAAAACGUAAAUAUAAAAAGGGUAGUCUUCCAUCGUACAUGACUUAGUUUAUUUGUUCACUUCAAAGUAAUCAAGUAAAGCACUAAAAAUUUAAAGCAUACAAAAUGGUGUUAAAAGAGAUCCUUAUUGUAGUAUGCUUUGCAAUUCUUGUAUCUGCAGAUGUUGCACCACUUAUCGCACUAGGACCGGCGACAAUUUUAAAAUCAAGGGAAAUUCCAUCGAUAUAUUCAUCAUCCGUGCUUCAAGCUGUCGCUAACGAUGGACGUGGAUUAUCUUACAGCACUCUGCAAACUCAUAAUCCAGUUGUUCCGGUAUUGGAAUCGAAACUGGUACAACCGGUUAUUAGGUAUGAUGUCGGUUCUUUUAAUUUGCCACUUUCUAAUAUUGGUUUGUUCGUUCAAAAUCCACCUCUUGUAAGUGGUUUGGUUCCAGUACAACAAAUUGAGUCGAUUUCCAAUCCAGGAGGUUCACCUGCAAUUUCAAAUACACCUGUUUUAUCCAAUGGCAAUGUAUCUAAUAAUGAUGACUCAGUUACGAUUGAAGCAAAUUAGUCCUUUUAACUUAUAUGAGAAUACAUAUGUCUUAAAUGCAAACGAAUCUUUAUUUUAGAUAUAACUAAUAAAGUUUCCGUAACAAUAAUAUUAAUACGCAGGUAUUUAUGUACGAUGGUUGUAAUAGCUAAAAAAACAAACUCAAGCAAAUAAAAAGAAAUAUUUUUCUUGUGAAAAACAAAAAACUGUUUUGAGAUACUUACAAUUAACAUUAUACUAUGUAUAGAGGUUUCGUCGAUUAGAUUUUGUCGGGUCGGGUUAUAUUUUAAUAAUCAGCGAUAUGGUGUGUGUAUAAUUAUGGUAUAAAGAUUUGAUUAACAAUCAAAUCAAAAUUAAGAAUUUUCACAUUAUUAUAGUUAUUCAUUAUGAAAGAUUUUUGAUUCUGUAGCUUGACUUCGCGACCGAUUGUUAAUUUUGCAAAAGAGUUUAUAUUUAAA